rnacentral:lncRNA from 1 species
UCUCUCUCCACUCUCCCCUCAGAUAAUCUCCACGACUCUUUCCUGUCCCUCCCUGGGGGGCUUGGGAGGCUCCAGGCUGAGGGUUAGGAACCCUAAUUCAUGUGAUCAGAAUAGAGAGGAAGGAAAAGGUGCUGGUGACUAAGAACAGGAGCCGACUCUGUGCCUCAGUCUCCCCUCCAGGGCUACAAGCAGGCUCUCAGCUUCCUGCUGCCCCCUCUCCAUCCUGGGAAUUCCUGAUUUUACGGCAUGCUCCCCUUCAGCCCCAAGCCGCCAAGAUAACCAACCUUUUGUCUUCUGCACCAGAAACAGGGGAUUUGGCAGGAGAGUCAAACCCCAGAGCACUAGGCAGACAGAGCGCCGCCUUCCUUGGGAGAGACCUGAUCUCCAG